GGUCAAGUGAAGAAGCGCAUACGGUGGAUGCCUUGGCAGUCAGAGGCGAUGAAAGACGUGGUAGCCUGCGAAAAGCUUCGGGGAGUCGGCAAACAGACUUUGAUCCGGAGAUGUCUGAAUGGGGGAACCCAGCCAUCAUAAGAUGGUUACCUUACACUGAAUACAUAGGUGUAUGGAGCGAACCAGGGGAACUGAAACAUCUAAGUACCCUGAGGAAAAGAAAUCAACCGAGAUUCCCUUAGUAGUGGCGAGCGAACGGGGACUAGCCCUUAAGUGGCUUUGAGAUUAGCGGAACGCUCUGGAAAGUGCGGCCAUAGUGGGUGAUAGCCCUGUACGCGAAAAUCUCUUAGUCAUGAAAUCGAGUAGGACGGAGCACGAGAAACUUUGUCUGAAUAUGGGGGGACCAUCCUCCAAGGCUAAAUACUACUGACUGACCGAUAGUGAACUAGUACCGUGAGGGAAAGGCGAAAAGAACCCCGGAGAGGGGAGUGAAAUAGAUCCUGAAACCGUAUGCGUACAAGCAGUGGGAGCCCACGUUGUUGGGUGACUGCGUACCUUUUGUAUAAUGGGUCAGCGACUUAUUUUCAGUGGCGAGCUUAACCGAAUAGGGGAGGCGUAGCGAAAGCGAGUCUUAAUAGGGCGUCUAGUCGCUGGGAAUAGACCCGAAACCGGGCGAUCUAUCCAUGGGCAGGUUGAAGGUUGGGUAACACUAACUGGAGGACCGAACCGACUACCGUUGAAAAGUUAGCGGAUGACCUGUGGAUCGGAGUGAAAGGCUAAUCAAGCUCGGAGAUAGCUGGUUCUCCUCGAAAGCUAUUUAGGUAGCGCCUCAUGUAUCACUGUAGGGGGUAGAGCACUGUUUCGGCUAGGGGGUCAUCCCGACUUACCAAACCGAUGCAAACUCCGAAUACCUACAAGUGCCGAGCAUGGGAGACACACGGCGGGUGCUAACGUCCGUCGUGAAAAGGGAAACAACCCAGACCGUCAGCUAAGGUCCCAAAGUUAUGGUUAAGUGGGAAACGAUGUGGGAAGGCUUAGACAGCUAGGAGGUUGGCUUAGAAGCAGCCACCCUUUAAAGAAAGCGUAAUAGCUCACUAGUCGAGUCGGCCUGCGCGGAAGAUGUAACGGGGCUCAAACCAUACACCGAAGCUACGGGUAUCACGUAAGUGAUGCGGUAGAGGAGCGUUCUGUAAGCCUGUGAAGGUGAGUUGAGAAGCUUGCUGGAGGUAUCAGAAGUGCGAAUGCUGACAUGAGUAACGACAAUGGGUGUGAAAAACACCCACGCCGAAAGACCAAGGUUUCCUGCGCAACGUUAAUCGACGCAGGGUUAGUCGGUCCCUAAGGCGAGGCUGAAAAGCGUAGUCGAUGGAAAACAGGUUAAUAUUCCUGUACUUCUGGUUAUUGCGAUGGAGGGACGGAGAAGGCUAGGCCAGCUUGGCGUUGGUUGUCCAAGUUUAAGGUGGUAGGCUGGAAUCUUAGGUAAAUCCGGGAUUCUAAGGCCGAGAGCUGAUGACGAGUCAUCUUUUAGAUGACGAAGUGGUUGAUGCCAUGCUUCCAAGAAAAGCUUCUAAGCUUCAGGUAACCAGGAACCGUACCCCAAACCGACACAGGUGGUUGGGUAGAGAAUACCAAGGCGCUUGAGAGAACUCGGGUGAAGGAACUAGGCAAAAUGGCACCGUAACUUCGGGAGAAGGUGCGCCGGUGAGGGUGAAGGACUUGCUCCGUAAGCUCAUGCCGGUCGAAGAUACCAGGCCGCUGCGACUGUUUAUUAAAAACACAGCACUCUGCAAACACGAAAGUGGACGUAUAGGGUGUGACGCCUGCCCGGUGCCGGAAGGUUAAUUGAUGGGGUUAGCUAACGCGAAGCUCUUGAUCGAAGCCCCGGUAAACGGCGGCCGUAACUAUAACGGUCCUAAGGUAGCGAAAUUCCUUGUCGGGUAAGUUCCGACCUGCACGAAUGGCGUAACGAUGGCGGCGCUGUCUCCACCCGAGACUCAGUGAAAUUGAAAUCGCUGUGAAGAUGCAGUGUAUCCGCGGCUAGACGGAAAGACCCCGUGAACCUUUACUAUAGCUUUGCACUGGACUUUGAAUUUGCUUGUGUAGGAUAGGUGGGAGGCUUUGAAGCGUGGACGCCAGUCUGCGUGGAGCCAACCUUGAAAUACCACCCUGGCAACUUUGAGGUUCUAACUCAGGUCCGUUAUCCGGAUCGAGGACAGUGUAUGGUGGGUAGUUUGACUGGGGCGGUCUCCUCCUAAAGAGUAACGGAGGAGUACGAAGGUGCGCUCAGACCGGUCGGAAAUCGGUCGUAGAGUAUAAAGGCAAAAGCGCGCUUGACUGCGAGACAGACACGUCGAGCAGGUACGAAAGUAGGUCUUAGUGAUCCGGUGGUUCUGUAUGGAAGGGCCAUCGCUCAACGGAUAAAAGGUACUCCGGGGAUAACAGGCUGAUACCGCCCAAGAGUUCAUAUCGACGGCGGUGUUUGGCACCUCGAUGUCGGCUCAUCACAUCCUGGGGCUGAAGCCGGUCCCAAGGGUAUGGCUGUUCGCCAUUUAAAGUGGUACGCGAGCUGGGUUUAGAACGUCGUGAGACAGUUCGGUCCCUAUCUGCCGUGGACGUUUGAGAUUUGAGAGGGGCUGCUCCUAGUACGAGAGGACCGGAGUGGACGAACCUCUGGUGUUCCGGUUGUCACGCCAGUGGCAUUGCCGGGUAGCUAUGUUCGGAAUAGAUAACCGCUGAAAGCAUCUAAGCGGGAAACUAGCCUCAAGAUGAGAUCUCACUGGAACCUUGAGUUCCCUGAAGGGCCGUCGAAGACUACGACGUUGAUAGGUUGGGUGUGUAAGCGCUGUGAGGCGUUGAGCUAACCAAUACUAAUUGCCCGUGAGGCUUGACCAU
rnacentral:rRNA from 1 species